GUUCAGAGAAGAGGGAGGUGACCCCGGGGAUGACAGUGUUCCCUUGUCCUUAAGGAACUGGUGGGCAGAGCCUGCACUUGGUGGAACAUGCUUGUGAUCCCAGCGCUCUGGGAGGCUGAGGGACCGGGGCUCCGAGACCAGGAGGAAGAGCAGACCCGGGGAGGACUUUACCAGUGUCCGGGCUUUCCAGUUGGAGAGGGUCCUGAAGCUGGAGUCACCUUUUGUGAGCGACCCGCGAACCUACCAGGGCACUGUGAUGUUAAUGAAGGGUGCGAGGGGAGAGACACAAAUCUUAGCCCUCAGCAUCAUAAAAAAACUAGCUUGGGGCUGGGGGUGUAGCGGUGGUAGAGCACUUAGCUAGUGAGCCACGCCCUAUCCUGGAUCCUGGCUUUGCAAACAAAACACAACAAAACCAAACCAAGUACCAAGCAAAAAUGAGCUAGAAGAGACUUUAGGAAUUAUUAAAUCCAAACUGCUUUUCUUUUUCCCCCAGAACUGGGGAUUGAGCUUAGGUUUUCACACACACGAGACGCCAUCUACCCCUGAGCUGUAUCCCCAGAUUUUUAGUUUAUUUUGAAUUUUGUUUUGUUUUGUUUUUUGAGACAGGGUCUCGCUAUGUAGUUCUUUGAACUCACUGUGUAGCCCAGGCUGGCCUCACAGUGACAGCCAUCUUCCUGCCUCAGCCUCCUGAGCCCUGGGAUUACAGGCAUGUUCCACCACACCUGGUGCCUGGUUUUAUUUUGAGACAGGGCCUUGCUAAAUUGCUGAGGCUGGCCUGGAACUUGGCAUCCUCCUGCCUCAGCCUCCUCAGUAGCUGGGAUUACAGCUGCAGCUGUGUGCCACUAUUCUCAGCUACAAUCUUGUCUUUUGUUUGUUUGUUUUAUUUAUUUUUUUUUCUGUACCAGGAAUCAAACUCAGGACCUUGCGCUUGCCAGGCAGGCUCAGUGCCACUGAGCUAAGCCCCCAGCCCAUUAUUUUGUUUUUUGAGGCAAAGCCUUGCUAGUAGUUCAGGCUGGCCUUGAGCUCCUGGCGAUCCUCCUACCUCAGCCUCCCAUGUUCUAGGAGUGCUGGGGUUACAGCCUGGCACAGCCUCAUUCUUACAGGAAAACUGAUAAGCACAAUCCAUACAUCUGGCCUGACACCACAGACAUUUGAAUCUCCACCCUGUUACUCCUGGGGGGUGUCGUAGUCUGUAGGACCCAGCCCCUUGGAUUUGGAAUUGAGUACACAAAACUACAAAUACUCUGCCCAUAGAGACCAGGGCUCAGCUAGAGGCACAGGGUCCAAGGAAAAGAGCACCUUUGCCCCCUCCUUAUCUAACUCAGGGGAGCCCGGGCAGCCUUGAGCCCCUCUGAGCUGCAGUUUCCUCACCUGUAACAUGGGGAUAACUGUACAUUGCUUACCAGAUAUUUUGUGUGAGGAUUUUUAUGUUAAAAGCACUUGGCAUAUA
ensembl:lncRNA